rnacentral:rRNA from 1 species
GAACGCUGGCGGCGUGCCUAAUACAUGCAAGUCGAACGCUUCUUUUUCCACCGGAGCUUGCUCCACCGGAAAAAGAGGAGUGGCGAACGGGUGAGUAACACGUGGGUAACCUGCCCAUCAGAAGGGGAUAACACUUGGAAACAGGUGCUAAUACCGUAUAACAAUCGAAACCGCAUGGUUUUGAUUUGAAAGGCGCUUUCGGGUGUCGCUGAUGGAUGGACCCGCGGUGCAUUAGCUAGUUGGUGAGGUAACGGCUCACCAAGGCCACGAUGCAUAGCCGACCUGAGAGGGUGAUCGGCCACAUUGGGACUGAGACACGGCCCAAACUCCUACGGGAGGCAGCAGUAGGGAAUCUUCGGCAAUGGACGAAAGUCUGACCGAGCAACGCCGCGUGAGUGAAGAAGGUUUUCGGAUCGUAAAACUCUGUUGUUAGAGAAGAACAAGGAUGAGAGUAACUGUUCAUCCCUUGACGGUAUCUAACCAGAAAGCCACGGCUAACUACGUGCCAGCAGCCGCGGUAAUACGUAGGUGGCAAGCGUUGUCCGGAUUUAUUGGGCGUAAAGCGAGCGCAGGCGGUUUCUUAAGUCUGAUGUGAAAGCCCCCGGCUCAACCGGGGAGGGUCAUUGGAAACUGGGAGACUUGAGUGCAGAAGAGGAGAGUGGAAUUCCAUGUGUAGCGGUGAAAUGCGUAGAUAUAUGGAGGAACACCAGUGGC